rnacentral:rRNA from 1 species
UUAAAUUGAAGAGUUUGAUCAUGGCUCAGAUUGAACGCUGGCGGCAGGCCUAACACAUGCAAGUCGAACGGUAACAGGAAGCAGCUUGCUGCUUUGCUGACGAGUGGCGGACGGGUGAGUAAUGUCUGGGAAACUGCCUGAUGGAGGGGGAUAACUACUGGAAACGGUGGCUAAUACCGCAUAACGUCGCAAGACCAAAGAGGGGGACCUUCGGGCCUCUUGCCAUCAGAUGUGCCCAGAUGGGAUUAGCUUGUUGGUGAGGUAACGGCUCACCAAGGCGACGAUCCCUAGCUGGUCUGAGAGGAUGACCAGCCACACUGGAACUGAGACACGGUCCAGACUCCUACGGGAGGCAGCAGUGGGGAAUAUUGCACAAUGGGCGCAAGCCUGAUGCAGCCAUGCCGCGUGUAUGAAGAAGGCCUUCGGGUUGUAAAGUACUUUCAGCGGGGAGGAAGGUGUUGUGGUUAAUAACCACAGCAAUUGACGUUACCCGCAGAAGAAGCACCGGCUAACUCCGUGCCAGCAGCCGCGGUAAUACGGAGGGUGCAAGCGUUAAUCGGAAUUACUGGGCGUAAAGCGCACGCAGGCGGUCUGUCAAGUCGGAUGUGAAAUCCCCGGGCUCAACCUGGGAACUGCAUUCGAAACUGGCAGGCUUGAGUCUUGUAGAGGGGGGUAGAAUUCCAGGUGUAGCGGUGAAAUGCGUAGAGAUCUGGAGGAAUACCGGUGGCGAAGGCGGCCCCCUGGACAAAGACUGACGCUCAGGUGCGAAAGCGUGGGGAGCAAACAGGAUUAGAUACCCUGGUAGUCCACGCCGUAAACGAUGUCUACUUGGAGGUUGUGCCCUUGAGGCGUGGCUUCCGGAGCUAACGCGUUAAGUAGACCGCCUGGGGAGUACGGCCGCAAGGUUAAAACUCAAAUGAAUUGACGGGGGCCCGCACAAGCGGUGGAGCAUGUGGUUUAAUUCGAUGCAACGCGAAGAACCUUACCUGGUCUUGACAUCCACAGAACUUUCCAGAGAUGGACUGGUGCCUUCGGGAACUGUGAGACAGGUGCUGCAUGGCUGUCGUCAGCUCGUGUUGUGAAAUGUUGGGUUAAGUCCCGCAACGAGCGCAACCCUUAUCCUUUGUUGCCAGCGGUCCGGCCGGGAACUCAAAGGAGACUGCCAGUGAUAAACUGGAGGAAGGUGGGGAUGACGUCAAGUCAUCAUGGCCCUUACGACCAGGGCUACACACGUGCUACAAUGGCGCAUACAAAGAGAAGCGACCUCGCGAGAGCAAGCGGACCUCAUAAAGUGCGUCGUAGUCCGGAUUGGAGUCUGCAACUCGACUCCAUGAAGUCGGAAUCGCUAGUAAUCGUGGAUCAGAAUGCCACGGUGAAUACGUUCCCGGGCCUUGUACACACCGCCCGUCACACCAUGGGAGUGGGUUGCAAAAGAAGUAGGUAGCUUAACCUUCGGGAGGGCGCUUACCACUUUGUGAUUCAUGACUGGGGUGAAGUCGUAACAAGGUAACCGUAGGGGAACCUGCGGUUGGAUCACCUCCUUA